rnacentral:rRNA from 1 species
GAGUACGGCCGCAAGGCUAAAACUCAAACGAAUUGACGGGGACCCGCACAAGCAGCGGAGCGUGUGGUUUAAUUCGAUGCUACACGAAGAACCUUACCUGGGUUUGACAUGUAGGUGGUAGGGAGGUGAAAGCCGAGCGACCCUUCGGGGAGCCUACACAGGUGCUGCAUGGCUGUCGUCAGCUCGUGCCGUGAGGUGUCGGGUUAAGUCCCGUAACGAGCGCAACCCUUGCUCUUAGUUACAAGUGUCUAAGGGGACUGCCGGCGAGAAGCCGGAGGAAGGUGGGGAUGACGUCAAGUCAGCAUGGCCUUUAUAUCCAGGGCUACACACACGCUACAAUGGUCGGUACAAAGGGCAGCCAAACCGUGAGGUGGAGCGAAUCCCAACAAAGCCGGUCGUAGUUCGGAUUGCAGGCUGCAACCCGCCUGCAUGAAGUUGGAGUUGCUAGUAGCCGUGCGUCAGCUAUAGCGCGGUGAAUACGUUCCCGGGUCUUGUACACACCGCCCGUCACGUCAUGGGAGUUGGCAACGCCUGAAGUCGAUAGCCUGACCUGCAAAGGGGGGCGUCGCCGAAGGCGGGGUUAGCAACUGGGACGAAGUCGUAACAAGGUA